CUGAGCCGUUGUUACCUGCAGCUGAUGAGCUCCAAAAAGAGCGAAACCUCUUAGGUCCUGCAGUACUGGCUUACGGUAGG
ensembl:misc_RNA Gm56265 predicted gene, 27265